GCCCUCUUAGCUCAGGGGAUAGAGCGUCUGCCUCCGGAGCAGAAGGCCGCAGGUUCGAAUCCUGCAGAGGGCA
rnacentral:tRNA from 1 species